rnacentral:rRNA from 1 species
CAGCAGCCGCGGGAAUACGUAGGGUGCAAGCGUUAAUCGGAGUUACUGGGCGUAAAGCGUGCGCAGGCGGUUUGUUAAGACAGAUGUGAAAUCCCCGGGCUCAACCUGGGAACUGCAUUUGUGACUGGCAAGCUAGAGUAUGGCAGAGGGGGGUGGAAUUCCGCGCGUAGCAGUGAAAUGCGUAGAUAUGCGGAGGAACACCGAUGGCGAAGGCAGCCCCCUGGGCCAAUACUGACGCUCAUGCACGAAAGCGUGGGGAGCAAACAGGAUUAGAUACCCGUGUAGUCCCUGUCUCUUAUAA